AUUGAACGCUGGCGGCAGGCCUAACACAUGCAAGUCGAGCGGAUGAAGGGAGCUUGCUCCUGGAUUCAGCGGCGGACGGGCGAGUAAUGCCUAGGAAUCUGCCUGGUCGUGGGGGAUAACGUCCGUAAAGGAGCGCUAAUACAGCAUACGUUCUGAGUGUGAAAGUGAGGGUUCUUCGGACCUCACGCUAUCUGAUGUGCCUAGGUUGGAGUAGCUAGUUGGUGGGGUAAGGGCGUACCAAGGCGACGAUCCCAAACCGAUCUGAGAGGGUGAUCAGUCACACUGGAAAUGAGACACGGGCCAGACUCCUAAGGGAGGCAGCAGUAGGGAAUUUUCGGCAAUGGGCGAAAGCCUGACGGAGCAAAGGCGCGUGAGUGAUGAAGGUCUUCGGAUCUUAAAACCCUGUUAUUAGGGAAGAACAUAUGUGUAAUUAACUGUGCACAUCUUGACGGUACCUAAUCAAAAAGCCACGGCUAAAUUCGUG
rnacentral:rRNA from 1 species